rnacentral:lncRNA from 1 species
UCUUCCUCUUCCUCUUCCUCUUCCUCUUCCUCUUCCUCUUCCUCUUCCUCUUCCUCUUCCUCUUCCUCUUCCUCUUCCUUUGAUAUCAUUUCACUAUAUGACCCAAUCUCUCACUUCAGCCAAGCAAGUCUAGAAUUAGAGGAGUAUACUGCUGCAUCUAGUUUGCUUUCUUUUUUGUGUCUCAUGGCAAGCCCACUAAGUACCUGAUGGGGACAGUAGCAACUGAUAAUGUUAUGUAGCUGAGUUUAAUUUGUACACUGUAGUGAUCUG